UACAGGGGGAGCGAACGUUACUCGGAAUCACUGGGCAUAAAGGGCGCGUAGGCGGUCCUGUAAGUCGGAUGUGAAAGACCUUGGCUCAACCAAGGAACGGCAUCCGAUACUGCGGGGCUUGAGGCCGAGAGGGGCAAGCGGAACUCCUGGUGGAGCGGUGAAAUGCGUAGAUAUCAGGAGGAACACCGGUGGCGAAGGCGGCUUCCUGGACCGACACUGACGCUGAGGCGCGAAAGCUAGGGGAGCAAACGGG
rnacentral:rRNA from 1 species